rnacentral:rRNA from 1 species
GAACCAUUUACGGGCCGCUAUACAUGCAAGUCGAGCGGACAGAUGGGAGCUUGCUCCCUGAUGUUAGCGGCGGACGGGUGAGUAACACGUGGGUAACCUGCCUGUAAGACUGGGAUAACUCCGGGAAACCGGGGCUAAUACCGGAUGGUUGUUUGAACCGCAUGGUUCAAACAUAAAAGGUGGCUUCGGCUACCACUUACAGAUGGACCCGCGGCGCAUUAGCUAGUUGGUGAGGUAACGGCUCACCAAGGCAACGAUGCGUAGCCGACCUGAGAGGGUGAUCGGCCACACUGGGACUGAGACACGGCCCAGACUCCUACGGGAGGCAGCAGUAGGGAAUCUUCCGCAAUGGACGAAAGUCUGACGGAGCAACGCCGCGUGAGUGAUGAAGGUUUUCGGAUCGUAAAGCUCUGUUGUUAGGGAAGAACAAGUACCGUUCGAAUAGGGCGGUACCUUGACGGUACCUAACCAGAAAGCCACGGCUAACUACGUGCCAGCAGCCGCGGUAAUACGUAGGUGGCAAGCGUUGUCCGGAAUUAUUGGGCGUAAAGGGCUCGCAGGCGGUUUCUUAAGUCUGAUGUGAAAGCCCCCGGCUCAACCGGGGAGGGUCAUUGGAAACUGGGGAACUUGAGUGCAGAAGAGGAGAGUGGAAUUCCACGUGUAGCGGUGAAAUGCGUAGAGAUGUGGAGGAACACCAGUGGCGAAGGCGACUCUCUGGUCUGUAACUGACGCUGAGGAGCGAAAGCGUGGGGAGCGAACAGGAUUAGAUACCCUGGUAGUCCACGCCGUAAACGAUGAGUGCUAAGUGUUAGGGGGUUUCCGCCCCUUAGUGCUGCAGCUAACGCAUUAAGCACUCCGCCUGGGGAGUACGGUCGCAAGACUGAAACUCAAAGGAAUUGACGGGGGCCCGCACAAGCGGUGGAGCAUGUGGUUUAAUUCGAAGCCACGCGAAGAACCUUACCAGGUCUUGACUCCUCUGACACCUAGAGAUAGGACGUCCCCUUCGGGGGCAGAGUGACAGGU